UCCUACGGGAGGCAGCAGUGGGGAAUAUUGGGCAAUGGGCGAAAGCCUGACCCAGCCAUGCCGCGUGAAUGAUGAAGGCCUUAGGGUUGUAAAGUUCUUUCGUUGGUGAAGAUAAUGACGGUAACCAAAGAAGAAGCCCCGGCUAACUUCGUGCCAGCGGCCGCGGUAAGACGGAGGAGGCAAGCGUUAUCCGGAAUUAUUGGGCGUAAAGCGUCCGCAGGCGGCUAAUUAAGUCUGUUGUUAAAGCCCGCAGCUCAACUGUGGAUCGGCAAUGGAAACUGGUUAGCUAGAGUGUGGUAGGGGUAGAGGGAAUUCCCGGUGUAGCGGUGAAAUGCGUAGAUAUCGGGAAGAACACCAGUGGCGAAGGCGCUCUACUGGGCCACAACUGACGCUGAGGGACGAAAGCUAGGGGAGCGAAAGGGAUUAGAUACCCCUGUAGUCCUAGCUGUAAACGAUGGAUACUAGGUGUUGGGCGUAUCGACCCGUUCAGUACCGUAGCUAACGCGUUAAGUAUCCCGCCUGGGGAGUACGCACGCAAGUGUGAAACUCAAAGGAAUUGACGG
rnacentral:rRNA from 1 species